rnacentral:rRNA from 1 species
CGGUUGAUCCUGCCAGAGGUUACUGCUAUCGAGAUUCGACUAAGCCAUGCGAGUUGAAUGUUCUUCGUGAACAUGGCGGACUGCUCAGUAACACGUGGACAACCUACCCUUGGGUCCGGCAUAAUCCUGGGAAACUGGGAAUAAUUCCGGAUAGGUCACCGAUGCUGGAAUGCGCGGUGGCCGAAAGCUCCGGCGCCCGAGGAUGGGUCUGCGGCCUAUCAGGGUUGUAGUGGGUGUAACGUACCUACUAGCCUACGACGGGUACGGGUUGUGAGAGCAAGAGCCCGGAGAUGGAUUCUGAGACACGAAUCCAGGCCCUACGGGGUGCAGCAGGCGCGAAAACUUUACAAUGCGGGAAACCCGUGAUAAGGGGAUCUCGAGUGCCAGCAUAUAAUGUUGGCUGUCCAGAUGCCUAAAAAGCAUCUGUUAGCAAGGGCCGGGCAAGACCGGUGCCAGCCGCCGCGGUAACACCGGCGGCCCGAGUGGUAACCGCUAUUAUUGGGUCUAAAGGGUCUGUAGCCGGCCAGGUAAGUCCCUUGGGAAAUCUGGCAGCUCAACUGUCAGGCUGCUAGGGGAUACUGUUUGGCUUGGGACCGGGAGAGGUGAGAGGUACCUUGGGGGUAGGGGUGAAAUCUUUGUGAUCCUCGAGGGACCACCAGUGGCGAAGGCGUCUCACCAGAACGGGUCCGACGGUAAGGGACGAAAGCUAGGGGCACGAACCGGAUUAGAUACCCGGGUAGUCCUAGCCGUAAACGAUGCUCGCUAGGUGUCAGUCACGGUGCGACCGUGAUUGGUGCCGUAGGGAAGCCGUGAAGCGAGCCACCUGGGAAGUAUGGCCGCAAGGCUGAAACUUAAAGGAAUUGGCGGGGGAGCACUACAACGGGUGGAGCCUGCGGUUUAAUUGGAUUCAACGCCGGAAAUCUCACCGGGGGCGACAGCGAUAUGAAGGUCAGGCUGAAGACUUUACCGGAUUAGCUGAGAGGUGGUGCAUGGCCGUCGUCAGUUCAUACUGUGAAGCAUCCUGUUAAGUCAGGUAACGAGCGAGACCCG